rnacentral:lncRNA from 1 species
UUGACAUAAAAGGAAGGUACAAAUUACAACCAAAAAGGCAGGUUCGGAAAGUUCAACAAAAGUAACCUGCUAUCAAGCUAUAAGCCUGAAAAGGAUAAAUAAUGAGAGGGUGAGUUCAACAACUCAGUGAGUAGAUAACGUUCAAUAUACAUACACGAGGUAAUAUAGCAAUGAGAAAUAUAUAUACAAGUAUGGCUUUAGUUCUUAUACGAAGGUUUAUCAAAUAGGCCAUAACAAGAAUAUCAUAUGGUAAAACUCGUCAGAAAAUCAAAAUGCAAUGAGCAUGAGGCUCCGUACUGUUGGAUGAUCAGUCCACACAGGUUGGUGACUCCCCCCGACCAACUAGGGUUCAGAUACGAUGUGCACAAAGACUAACACUACCCUGUUAGCAUGGGUAUUCUGACUGACAUACCAUAGGUUCAUAAUCAUAAUCAAACAAACAUAUUCAUAUCUCAAAGCUCAACUCAUGACAUCCAUCAAAUGAGGAGCUAUCAAUUCAGAAGUCAAAUCAUAUUGGUUCAUAUCAAGAAAUCAGAUUCAAUAAUUGAUCAUGCUUUAUCAUAUCAAGGAUAAUAAUCAGCAUAUAUAUUAUCAAGAAGCAUGAUCCAAUUCAUAUUAACAAAUCAAAUAUUUAUAAUAUUUCUCAUGCAUAUGGAAAAUUAUCCACUCACCUGACUCAAAAGCAAACAACACACACAAGCUGAAACCGAAGGAAAUUCUACUGACGUCCUGCCGGUAGAAUAUCAGGAUUAUCUGAAUACAAAGGAGACAUAUUCAAAAACGACUCGAAAGAACAUUUAACUAUUUAAUACACUUAACUAAGGGUGUAUUCCGUAACCCUAUAUAUUAACUAGUCAAUUUUCUUAAAAACCCAAAAUCUAACGGUUUUCCCGAAAUCUAAUCCAUAAUAAAAACAACUAAUAAAAUUGGUAAUAAUUCACUAAAUAACCCUUAAUUAUUCAUCAAACUAAUCUGCAAAAGCUAAUAUUACAGCUAGGGACUAAUCUGGAAUUUUUCUAUUUUUAGGGCCAAAUUGUAACUUUUUCAAAUGGAGGACCAAACUGAAAUUUGUCAUAAAUCCAUGAAUAUACUGAAAUUCUGACCUUAAUUAAUCCUCAAUUCUGUCCAGGAUGUAUCAUUAUGCUUCAGGGAUCAUUCUGGAAUUUUACUAAAUUUUUAGGGUCAAAUCGUACUUUUUGUCAAAUUGAAGGACUAAAUUGAAAGUGUUAAAUUAUCUUAUCUAUACAGUAAUUAUGUCCAUAAUUUAAAUGCUAUUCUGUUCAGAAUCUCGGAAUAUGCUCCAGGGACCAAUUUGUAAUUUUCCAAAGUUCGGGGACUAAACUGUAAUUUUCGGAAAUUGAGGGACCAAAUUGAAUUUUCGUCAUCUUCAACCUCCAGUCCAGAUUUUAACAGAAACCCCACUGUUCUCCCCUGAUUUCUAACUCAAUUUUCACCAUUUACACAAUUCUAUAACUCAAAAUCAUCAUAAUCUUCCAUAAUCAACUAAAUCAUCAAUUAAACACAACAAUCAACCCCUAACCUUCAAUUUAAUUCAUCAAUUUAAAUCAAACACAAAUUCUCAAAACCCUAACAUUCAUAAAAACUGAAAUUAAAGCUUAAUUAACUUAUUAUACACAUUAAACAACCUAAAUCUUACCUUUUUCACUUAUUUCCUUCAAAUCUCUUCCUUUUCCCCUUAUUUUCCCUUCUUUUCUCUUCUUCUUCUUUCUCCCUUCUCUCUCACGGUUUACUC